UGCAGCAGAUAUGCCUUUCAACUGGAAACGUCUUACACGCUUUAGCAGUUAAACACGUGAUGUUUUAAUUAACAAGGCUGCAGACGUACUAGUGGGUAUGCAAGGCUGCACUUAAGCACAAUCAUAUCUUGAACGAAGUGCUAUCAACUUUUAUUAACUAUCAGCUCUUACAUGCUGAUAUUGAACAGGUGUGAUGUUUAUCAUGCUCACCAUUUUUGUUCUAUGUGUUUGCAUGCUAAUCUUUGCUACUUAGCACAAAACAUAAAGUAAAGCUUUUUGCAGGUGGGAAUUAGCUUUGCAAGUAUUUGGUUACUCAUUAAAGUACUGAUCUGCUCAUGACAGAUAAAAAGUGAAGACAUUACUGAAAUGAUUAGCUGAGAUCAUUGACUGCAUAAUAGCCCCUGGUUGGGAUUUUUCACUCGAAUGACCAGCUUCAUAGUGAUGCGUGGGGAAAAAAAAACAGAUAAUCACCAAUGCCAUUAAAAUGCCUCCUCUGGAAACUAUUAAGGGCUAUAAAAAUUUUCAUGGCAAGCCAUACAGUAGUUGUUAAGAUAUUUUAGUUGGACCAACUGACCUACCAAUCAACCGGACAUUAGCAUCCCUAGAGCCCUUUUGCUAACAUAUCUAAAUAUACAGAAAACACCAACAAUAAAGCACAUCCAAACAAUGCUGUAGACUCUGAGAACAAUAUACUGCCAAUACAUGACUAGGACUAGCCCCUUUCAUCUAGAGCGAAGCAAUGAUAAGUUAUUUUCACAAGUGGUCAUGAUAUAGACUGGCGUUCUUUGGAUAAAUGCAAAUAUUAUUAGUCAGAAUCUGAUUGCUGACCCUUACAGUGCAUGAGCUGAGGGUCCAAAUUAAUUUUUGGGACAACAAAACCCAUUUCACAGAUGAAAUUACUGAUUUUACAUGUAAAUUCAAAUGAUCUUUUCUGAAUACCAAUUUCAAACCCGAGAUUAGGUUUAAAAGGAACCGUGGUGUUAUGCUCUACAGAUACGAGUCACUUCCUGUUUUGGCUGUUUCCAUAGCAUCACCAUAGCAAUAGCAGCAAACAAACUCCAGUAAUACCAGCAAACAACCACGUUUAUGACAUAUAAGAACAAACCACAGUAAAGUGUUACCUUGUGUAUGAAAUGUGUGAUUCCUGGGUGUGAUUAAUACAUUUUCUGCGAUUUGAGAACUAAUGUAAACAGGUUGACAUUAAAAAUAAUGUGUGGUUCAAUCCAAUAAACUAAAAAUAUAAUACUAAAAUAGACAGUAUAAUGACAAAAGCAUAUUGUAUGAGACAGAGGAAAGAAAAGGAGAAAACUGAAAGCGUCUGAAGACAAAUGAUUAUCCAGCCAGAGUUUGUUUCCUUCUCAGAACAAUGUCUGUCCUAGUUUCUCUCUCUGGAGAAACAACAUUGACACAAUGUGCAUAGAUGAUCCACUCCUUUAAUGAAUAGUCGGGGUGACUGUGUAACAUUUGCCGUGAAUGAUGAAUUCCCUUUUAAACAGCUGAACAUACACACAGUUUCACAUAGGCUAGACUGAAGCAAAAAAAAACCAAAAAAACAACAAAGAGACUAACUUGGUCAACACUCCAUCACUGCAGAAUGCACAAAACUCUCAAUCACUGUCAGUCCAUACAAGUAAAAUCAACUUGUUCACCCAGGUUGAACUCAAUUUGUUUAACAGCUCAUGUGAACAUUAAAAUGGCUUUAUGACUAAGUGGGUCAAAUUUCUCAUUCAUAUGUGAAGUGGCUUUGAAAGAAGGUCUAAAAAAAAAAAGAUGGAUAAGGGCCACUUUUAACCACACAAGGCUGAAUGACGGCUUGAAAAAUAACUCCAGGGUUCUUAACUGGCCAUUUUUGGUGAUGACGUUACAGCAGCACAAAAAAAAAAGAGUUUAACAUCUAUAUACUCUACAUGACAGAACCCGAAAUUAAACAUCAGACUGCUGAGUCAGCCAAUCCUCAUCCAACAAAGGAAAAGAAAAAAAAAACCCAAAACGUUUCCGUAAUGGUUGCUCAGUGAGAACACACACAUGCACUCUCAUCAGACGUCCUUGUGGCUGGGAAUCCUUGUGGUAAUGGCUGACUAAUGGCAACUCCUCAGCAUUCCUGUUAGGCAACGUGCGUUUUUCCUUCCAACCAGCGCCGUCACCGGAAUGCGAGUAGAAGAGAUUGCAAGAUGUCCAUGCACCAGGCCAGCUAUUAGAACUAUGGACAAAGUUUUCCAUAUUAGGCCCGAGAUCCACUUCAGCACCAGCACCCUCCCUUGGCAUGGCUGGGACCAUCUUUAAGCUUUGACAUGCCUGAUACCAUUCCUGUCAUGUGCAUACAUCGUAGUGAAAUGAAAGCCAUCUUUCAUAGUGUAAACAUCCAGUGAAUGUGAGUGUUUUAACAGAAUAAUGAGGUAAUGAUGACAACUGCAUGGUGUACAGUGCUCCAGUUCCUCUUCCAGGGCUUGUGUAUGUUGUGUUGGUUUUGUUGGGUGUGUGCUUUCAGUGUUGUAGGUUACCUGGUUGUUGGAGCUGAACUUAGUCAUAGAACUAGAGGCAGUUCACGACACUGUUCCCUCUAAGCUGCGCGCGUGCGCAAUUGCGCACUGCUGACACGGUCUCCGCGCACAGAAAAUCUGCGCUGCGCACACACAAAAAAAAUCCAACCUAACUUGUAAAUAAAAUAAACAUGUAACAAUUCAUUCUGUGCUAUUUUUCAGUGUGAGUCAGUGAGUGACCGGUGACUGGCUGUUGCAGCCAGUGAUGCGAUUUACAUACGUAUUUACCAUAGACUGUAUAUAAUGGUAUUUACGCAGCUAAUCAACGUCAGGCGUCCUUAUGUGCAGCUACCGUUGCUCUCAUAGAUAUGAAUGAGUAGAUAGGACACGCCCCCUUUGAGCUGCGUGCUACAGCGAGGCUAAGCUAGUGGGGGCAAAGUUUCAGUGCAUUCCGUUAAUGUAGACAGCGUGAAAACAACAAGUAUGCCGUCUCACUGUGCUGCAUACAAUUACACACUGCGUCGUACGAUUGAGACAAGGAAACUUGGAAUGACUUUUCAUAGGUUUCCCAGAGACUAUGGGUUGAGGAGGAAUUGGAAGUUUGUCGGCUUAGACCUGGUGUCAUUCCAUCAGUGUUUAACUUCCCGGCUCAUCUUGGAAGAGUACGUGCCAGAAAGACCACAACCAAGCAGCCUUGAGAUCUUAGGCAGCGUCUCCCUGAGGUCCCUCUCUAUCUCCCCACACAUCCACCAACCACUGGAACACAUCUCCAAAGUUCUGCCGGGCCAGCUCAGCUUCCCCUCAGAAGAAAUGCUGCCACCUGCCAGAUGAAGGAGCCUUUUGAGAGGCAGCUGGCAUCGUGAUUGGACUGUACUUUGGUCUGUUCCAAUCCAGCUUCAGCUCCAGAGACGGCAUGCGGGACGAGUCAACGGAGGCCGGGUGGACGAAGACAUGCAGCUGAGUACAAUCCAGAAAACAACAGAGGAGGAGUGCAGUGGCCCAGGGCCAGAACAAGCAGAGUAGCAUCGUAUGUCUCUUAGAAAAAAUUAUAGUAUAGCCUUUGAUAUGAAAAAACACCAUCAUAUACAUCGUAUAUUGUACAAAUAACAAGUCAAAGGAAAGAGACAUACAUUGUAGAACUGUAGUAAUUGUGGGCUGACUGAUUUACUGAUUAUCAGUAUUUUAUUUUUUACUGAUUUACGGUAAUAAAUAAAUUUAAAAAUGGC